GACCGGCGAACACGAGCGAAGUCGGCGUAUACGCACGUCCCAUCGGGAAGGGAAUUUCAGGCGGCACAGUUUGCGCGCCGCGAGUUCUUUCCCCGUGUGUUCACCGCACAGCAAUCCCGUGUACGAUUAUCGUCGGGUAUACGGUCUCACUAGACUGCGUUUCGUCUUUUUCGGAGUCGUGAACGGAGUUCGGUGUCUGUGUUGGCCGGCAACACGUUUUCUGCUUCUGCUGGUGCUGGUGCUGGUGCUGCUGCUGCUGCUGCUCUCUUCGUGCGAGAUCGGGGCUCGUGACGUCAGCGAUUCCCCCUCACCUCGUAAACACCAAACAUGGCCGUCGUACGGAUAUACGCUGGUCGAGUGCGUCCCAAGCUGACGGUGAAAACUAACGUCGAUAGAGCCACCAGAAACUUGUGGAACCGCGAAAGAGUCGUAAAAAGACGUUUCCAAGCCUUGUAAUUACCGGACAGGCUCUGUAUAUGAGAAUGUUCCAAAACUGGAGCGAUCGACUCACAGCGUCUAGCACAUUCUGCGGAUCGAGGCCGACUAGAGCCGAGGUCUGCCGAACUCCCCUUGCAAGCUUAGUGGACUCGCCCGACCCGCUCGAGGUUAGGAGAGGAGGGGGUAACAGUAGAGAAAGAGCACUAAAGGGGGAGGCAGAAGCUCUCAACGGUACGUGCGCCGCGCACGGGAAAGAAAGAGAAGAAGAGUGUGCCUGUGUAUGUGUGAGAGAGAGGGAAAGCAAAAGAAGGAGAGUGUGAUUGAGUGACCGAGGACGAGAAGGGCAGGGAGAAAAGGGAGAGAAGAGCAAGCGCAAUGGAGGUAGAAAAGAGAGACGGCGCGACCAGGAGCGCCGUCCUCGGAACAAGAAAGCUGCCUGCCUGCUGCCUGCCUGCCUUGCCUGCCUGGCUGCCGCCUGCCUGCUAGCCAGCCACCCCAAGUUCCCUUCUAGGUGAUGAUAGUGACAACAGUCAAAGUGAUCGCGCGGUGGUUUUCCUUUGGCGGCGAUUCAUCAAGUUACGCGGCCAGACACCCGGUAGACGAGCACCUACCCACCUGCCGUCCUACCUUCGGCAUACGUCUCGCUCGCUUUCACCGAGCACGACAUGCACCGUUCCGUUUGCGGGAUCCUACUACAGCGACGUGCACCAGGGACGCGCCGCGCUAUUGCACACGCAUCGGGCGCCGACCAACAGUGCAAGAUGCGUUCUAUAAUGCAGUGGAAAGGCGACAAGGCUUCAUGACGGAAGAACACGACGGCCGAAGGGGUUAAAGACUCGUAAAGUCGAGCGAGGAAAGGGCGUCGGACGGGUCAACAUGGCGGAGAACAUAAAUCUCUGGCCGUCGUUCUCGGUGGCGGCCACCACGAGUGCACCAGGGAGUACCUGUGUGGACGCGAGCGAGCGAGAAGGAAGAUACUACCGGAAAGAUGUAGGUAGAAACGUUUGGAACAGGAUUUUUCUGCCAUUUGCCGUUGACUGGAGAUAUUGCGAAAUUCGAAGCCUACAAAACGAUCGAGGUAUAUCACAUUGGUGCGAAGGGUGAAGUCACGAUUUUACGAGGACCACCCGGUAUAUUUCCAGGCCGAUCUGUUCGCGUAAUAUUAUAGUCCGGAAUGACGGCCGAAUUUAUCGAGCAAACGAAGAUCACGUGAAGGAGCGGGGAGAGCGGGGAGGGACGAUUGCGUGCGCCGAUGGAAUUCAGCCAUGGCGCGCAGAAAAAUCAAAUGAAACCGCCGCUUUUAAGUCGAAUUAAAACGAAUGCGCUUAAUUAAAGCGGCCCGGCCGGCGAACCAAGGCAGUUUUAUUGACGGUGUUACUUACGUGUGCCCUCUCAUUAACUUGAGGAAUAUCUACGUUCUCUGUUUUUACUGUAAUUAAUGAUACAUGCUUUAGAGGGUUCGUCGCUCUCCUCGCCACUCUUACGUGCCGCGAUUUCUUUGACCUGCCAGCGAAAUUUUGAAUGGUCGGCACGUGAAUACUACCAACUGGGAAUACUUUGAAUACAUUGUACUUACUUGUAUAACUAUAUCAAAGUUGUUUAUAUUCCUGGUUGUUCGAGUAUCUUGUGGGUUCUAUUCUUUUUUGCACGAGAUACUCGAGUACGUCGAAUACUUUAAAUACAUUACAUGGGCACUUUGAUUACUUGAGAAUCUAAGUUCUGUAAAUGUUUUGAAUUCUUUAUAACUCUUUACGAUACAAACCUGAAUUAAAUUAACAUUCCAUAAUAAUAAGUAUAUAAAUGAACAAUA